AUGCACAUUUCCUUUUCCAGUAUUUUCCUCAACAGUGUACAGGGAAUUCCUGUGGCAUCUACAUGCUGAUGUAUGCUCUCAGCACCUGUACAUCAUGCCCACUAACAUUCACAGAGGAGGAGGUGCCAUUGAUUCGCCAGUGGUGGUGCAUUCAGUUGAUGGAGAGGUUUUGCCUUGAAGGGCAUGGACAGAGAUUUGCACACUGGACAGAAGAAGCAUCCCAACUCCUUCAGGGAACAC